rnacentral:rRNA from 1 species
GAUAAGUCAGCGGUGAAAGUUUGCAGUUUAACUGUAAAAAUGCCGUUGAAACUGUCGGACUUGAGUGUAAAUGAGGUAGGCGGAAUGCCGUGGUGUAGCGGUGAAAUGCAUAGAUAUCACGCAGAACUCCGAUUGCGAAGGCAGCUUACUAAGCUACAACUGACACUGAAGCACGAAAGCGUGGGGAUCAAACAGGAUUAGAUACCCUGGUAGUCCACGCAGUAAACGAUGAUUACUAGCUGUUUGCGAUACACAGUAAGCGGCACAGCGAAAGCGUUAAGUAAUCCACCUGGGGAGUACGCCGGCAACGGUGAAACUCAAAGGAAUUGACGGGGGCCCGCACAAGCGGAGGAACAUGUGGUUUAAUUCGAUGAUACGCGAGGAACCUUACCCGGGUUUGAACGUAGGGAGACAGGGGUGGAAACAUCCUAUUCAGCAAUGACUGCCUACGAGGUGCUGCAUGGUUGUCGUCAGCUCGUGCCGUGAGGUGUCGGCUUAAGUGCCAUAACGAGCGCAACCCUUAUUUCCAGUUACUAACAGGUGAUGCUGAGGACUCUGGAGAGACUGCCAGCGUAAGCUGUGAGGAAGGUGGGGAUGACGUCAAAUCAGCACGGCCCUUACAUCCGGGGCGACACACGUGUUACAAUGGUAAGGACAAAGGGCAGCUACCGGGCGACCGGAUGCGAAUCUCUAAACCUUAUCUCAGUUCGGAUCGGAGUCUGCAACUCGACUCCGUGAAGCUGGAUUCGCUAGUAAUCGCGCAUCAGCCAUGGCGCGGUGAAUACGUUCCCGGGCCUUGUACACACCGCCCGUCAAGCCAUGGGAGCCGGGGGUACCUGAAGUUCGUAACCGCAAGGAUCGACCUAGGGUAAAACUGGUGACUGGGGCUAAGUCGUAACAAGGUAGCCG